ensembl:lincRNA
AUUUUAUUAAUUCAUAAUUUGAAUGAGUCACAGUAAAGAGAUACUAGAUGGGCAGCUAUCAGUGCUAAAUUGAUAAAUAGUAAGAUGAGUAGGCUUGGCCUAUUAAAGUUUCUUAAAUUCGUGAAUUGUUGUGAAUAAUUAUUUCAUUAAAAAGCAAUGAUGGACAAGCAGGCAAGUUAAGCUUUACACCACUUUCCAUCCAUUCCUUUCUCUUAAGUCACGAUGCUUCUCACGGACACUCAGGAUUAGAAUCACACAGAAUUUAUUCUACAAGCCAAAGCCACAAUAAAACGACUUACCAAUGAAUAUAAGUACAGGAGAAAUGCAGGAACCGUAAUCUAACAGGAGAUGCAUCAUCUGCUCUUUUGCUGAUACCAUCUAGGAUGGAAGAAAUGGGACAUGACAAGAAGAUCCCCAAAGCCAAGGAACAGAAAGGAUACUGGGAAUGAUGGACCACAAACUUCAAAA